AGUGAACGCUGGCGGUAGGCCUAACACAUGCAAGUCGAACGGCAGCACAGAGGAGCUUGCUCCUUGGGUGGCGAGUGGCGGACGGGUGAGGAAUACAUCGGAAUCUACUCUGUCGUGGGGGAUAACGUAGGGAAACUUACGCUAAUACCGCAUACGACCUACGGGUGAAAGCAGGGGAUCUUCGGACCUUGUGCGAUUGAAUGAGCCGAUGUCGGAUUAGCUAGUUGGCGGGGGAAAGGCCCACCAAGGCGACGAUCCGUAGCUGGUCUGAGAGGAUGAGAAGGCACACUGGAACUGAGACACGGUCCAGACUCCUACGGGAGGCAGCAGUGGGGAAUAUUGGACAAUGGGCGCAAGCCUGAUCCAGCCAUACCGCGUGGGUGAAGAAGGCCUUCGGGUUGUAAAGCCCUUUUGUUGGGAAAGAAAUCCAUCUGGUUAAUACCCGGGUGGGAUGACGGUACCCAAAGAAUAAGCACCGGCUAACUUCGUGCCAGCCGCCGCGGUAA
rnacentral:rRNA from 1 species